GGAAAGACCUUAGCUCAGUGGUAGAACAUCUGCUUUCCAUGAAGAACGCCCUGUUUUCAAUCCCUGGCAUCUCCA